GGCUUUGCUUGACUGGUUCUUCGUCCAUGCCAUUCAUUUUCUUCAAUGCAAGAUCGACACAAGGAUGUAACAGCAGUGAUAUUUUACAUCGUCUACCAGGGGCGGAGCGGCGAGAGGUCUAGAGAAGCGUUGCUUUUGUAAAUCACCUAGAACAAAAUUUUCAUCUAUGGGGAGUAAAAAGCAGGCGAGGUACCUGUGAUUUUUUUGGCUUUUGCCAACCCAUGUACGUUGAUUAGUGAUUACACUAUUUCUCUGUGAUGAACUAGCAACGGACCUGCCGUUGCAUCUUUUUCA